GUGCAGGACCAGGUCUAUACACAUAGCAAGUCGAGCGGAAACGGCAGUAUUGAAGCUUUCGGUGGAUUUACUGGACGUCGAGCGGCGGACGGGUGAGUAACGGCUGGGAACCUGCCCUGACGAGGGGGAUAACCGUUGGAAACGACGGCUAAUACCGCAUAAUGUCUUGAUUCGUUAGAGUCAGGACCAAAGGUGGCCUCUACAUGUAAGCUAUCGCGUUGGGAUGGGCCCAGUUAGGAUUAGCUAGUUGGUAAGGUAAUGGCUUACCAAGGCAACGAUCCUUAGCUGGUUUGAGAGGAUGAUCAGCCACACUGGGACUGAGACACGGCCCAGACUCCUACGGGAGGCAGCAGUGGGGAAUAUUGCACAAUGGGGGAGACCCUGAUGCAGCCAUGCCGCGUGUGUGAAGAAGGCCUUCGGGUUGUAAAGCACUUUCAGCAGUGAGGAAGGUCGUGUACUUAAUACGUGCACGGCUUGACGUUAGCUGCAGAAGAAGCACCGGCUAACUCCGUGCCAGCAGCCGCGGUAAUACGGAGGGUGCGAGCGUUAAUCGGAAUUACUGGGCGUAAAGCGCAUGCAGGCGGUUUGUUAAGUCAGAUGUGAAAGCCCGGGGCUCAACCUCGGAACCGCAUUUGAAACUGGCAGGCUAGAGUCUUGUAGAGGGGGGUAGAAUUUCAGGUGUAGCGGUGAAAUGCGUAGAGAUCUGAAGGAAUACCAGUGGCGAAGGCGGCCCCCUGGACAAAGACUGACGCUCAGAUGCGAAAGCGUGGGUAGCAAACAGGAUUAGAUACCCUGGUAGUCCACGCCGUAAACGCUGUCUACUUGGAGGUUGAGGUUUUAGACUUUGGCUUUCGGCGCUAACGCAUUAAGUAGACCGCCUGGGGAGUACGGCCGCAAGGUUAAAACUCAAAUGAAUUGACGGGGGCCCGCACAAGCGGUGGAGCAUGUGGUUUAAUUCGAUGCAACGCGAAGACCUUACCUACUCUUGACAUCCAGCCGAAGCCUUUAGAAGAAUAAGAGGCUCGUGCCUUCGGGAGCGCUUGAAGAACAAGGGUGCUGCCAUGCUGUCGUCAGGCUCCGUAUGUGAAAUGUUGGGGUAAGUCCGCAACGAGGCGCAACCUUAAUCUGGUUGGCAGCCAGUAAAUGUGGAACCUUCCAGGGAGAACCUGCCCGGU
rnacentral:rRNA from 1 species